AUGAUGGGGAAACUAUGGAAAAUUAAAAUUGGUCAGCCUUCUAAGCUGAGGGUCGCUGGUUCGAACCCAGCUGGGCAGGCCA
rnacentral:tRNA from 1 species